rnacentral:rRNA from 1 species
AUGGUGGAGGGCACCGUCCAAGACAUUGCUAACCUGAAGUUCCUCCUCCUGUGCUUCCAACAGAUGUCGGGCCUAACCAUCAACUUCGAUAAGAGCGAAGUGAUGGUUCUCGGGUUCCCCCUAGAGGAAGCACAGUCCAUAGCGGACCGACUUAAUUGUCGGUUGGGUUCUUUCCCCACGACAUACUUGGGGAUCCCCAUUAGUGACUCGCGCCUCACCGUGGUGGACCUCCACCCCACGGUGACCCGUAUGCAACAUCGCGUUGAACCCUGGAAAGGGCGUUGGUUGUCGAAGGCUACUCGUGUGAUCCUUAUCAACUCUUCGCUUGCUAGCCUUCUGUGGUUCCUCAUGAGCUUCUAUAGCCUCCAUGAGACCCUCCAUCAGGAGAUCGCCAAGUACCAAUCCAGAUUCUUCUGGGCUGGGGAGAGGGAUAAGCAGAAGUACCAUAUGGUUAGUUGGCCCAAUAUCUGCAAACCCAAGGACCAGGGAGGUCUUGGGAUCCUAUCCUCCCGCCGCAUGAACAUAGCCCUCUUGACUCAUUGGCUCUGGCGCAUUGCUAAUGGCGAUGGAGGUCUCUGGCUC